rnacentral:rRNA from 1 species
UGCUUGCACUGAUUUCAACAAUGAAGCGAGUGGCGAACUGGUGAGUAACACGUGGGAAAUCUGCCCAGAAGCAGGGGAUAACACUUGGAAACAGGUGCUAAUACCGUAUAACAACAAAAUCCGCAUGGAUUUUGUUUGAAAGGUGGCUUCGGCUAUCACUUCUGGAUGAUCCCGCGGCGUAUUAGUUAGUUGGUGAGGUAAAGGCCCACCAAGACGAUGAUACGUAGCCGACCUGAGAGGGUAAUCGGCCACAUUGGGACUGAGACACGGCCCAAACUCCUACGGGAGGCAGCAGUAGGGAAUCUUCCACAAUGGACGAAAGUCUGAUGGAGCAAUGCCGCGUGAGUGAAGAAGGGUUUCGGCUCGUAAAACUCUGUUGUUAAAGAAGAACACCUUUGAGAGUAACUGUUCAAGGGUUGACGGUAUUUAACCAGAAAGCCACGGCUAACUACGUGCCAGCAGCCGCGGUAAUACGUAGGUGGCAAGCGUUGUCCGGAUUUAUUGGGCGUAAAGCGAGCGCAGGCGGUUUUUUAAGUCUGAUGUGAAAGCCUUCGGCUUAACCGGAGAAGUGCAUCGGAAACUGGGAGACUUGAGUGCAGAAGAGGACAGUGGAACUCCAUGUGUAGCGGUGGAAUGCGUAGAUAUAUGGAAGAACACCAGUGGCGAAGGCGGCUGUCUAGUCUGUAACUGACGCUAAGGCUCGAAAGCAUGGGUAGCGAACAGGAUUAGAUACCCUGGUAGUCCAUGCCGUAAACGAUGAGUGCUAAGUGUUGGAGGGUUUCCGCCCUUCAGUGCUGCAGCUAACGCAUUAAGCACUCCGCCUGGGGAGUACGACCGCAAGGUUGAAACU